AAAUAAAGAAAAGAAAGGAAAACAAAAAAAGGAGAAGAUCUACCCGAUGCCUUAUAGGUCCCACGGUCACCCAGUCCUCACCCACCACCACAUACCUUCUUUGAUGCUUGCCAUGUGGCACACAUCUAAGUUUCCUCCUUACUGAUUUAAAGGCUCUUUUUUCCCUCAUUUUCACACACUUCGUUUCUUCUUCUAGUUUCACU
rnacentral:lncRNA from 1 species